CUGUGCCCUCCUGAGAACAGGCUGAUAUGCCCAAGAUAGUCCUGAAUGGUGUGACCAUAGACUUCCCUUUCCAGCCCUACAAAUGCCAACAGGAGUACAUGACCAAGGUCCUGGAAUGUCUGCAGGAGAAGGUGAAUGGCAUCCUGGAGAGCCCCACCGACACAGGGAAGACACUGCCCCCUGUGCACCGCGCUGGCCUGGUGAGAACACCCAAGACACCAUCUUUACCUGCAAUAUUGCCAAGAGGGUGCAAGGGGAGCUUCUGGCAGAUCGGGCCUUUGUCAUCCUGGGACAGUGCUGCUGCUGCUGUUGGAGACCCCAUAGCUUGUAACACGGACAUCCCAAAGAUCAUUUACGCCUUUAGGACCCUCUUACAACUCACACAGGUCAUCAACGAACUUCCGAACAUCUCCUACCGGCCUAAGGUGUGUGUGCUGGGCUCCCAGGAGCAGCUGUGCAUCCACUCUGAGGUGAAGAAGCAGAAGAGUAACCACAUGAAGAUCCACUUGUGCCGCAAGAAGGUGGCAAGUCACUCUGUAAUUUCUACAACAAUGUAGAAGAGAAAAGCCUGGAGCAGGAGCUGGUCAGCCCCAUCCUGGACAUCAAGGACUUGGUCAAGAGGGGAAACAAGCAUGGGGUAUGCCCUUAUUACCUGUCCCGGAACCUGAAGCAGCAAGCCGACAUCAUCUUCAUGCCGUACAGUUACUUGUUGGAUGCCAAGAGGCGCAGAGCACACAACAUUGACCAGAAGGGGACAGUCCUGAUCUUUGAUGAAACUCACAACGUGGAGCUCUGUGAAGAAUUGGCAUCCUUUGACCUGACACCCCAUGAACUAGCUUUGGGACUGGACAUCAUAGACCAGGUGCUGGAGGAGCAGAUCAAGGCGGCGCAGCAGGCUGAGCCCCACUCAGAGUUCAGUGGGACCCCACCAGCUCAGGGCUGAACAUGGAGCUGCAAGACAUUGCAAAGCUGAAGAUGAUCCUGCUCUGCCUGGAGUAGGCCAUCAAUGCCGUUGAGCUUCCUGGAGAUGACAGCGGUGUCACCAAGCCUGGGAGCUACAUCUUUGAGCUGUUUGCUGAAGCCCAGAUCAUGUUACAGACCAAUGGCUGCAUCCUGGACUCGCUGGACCAGAUCAUCCAGCACCUGGCAGGACAUGCUGGAGUGUUCGCCAACAAGACCCGACUGCAGAAGCUGGCGGAUAUCAUCCAGAUCAUGUUCAGUGUAGACCCCUCUGAGGGUGGCCCUGGUUCCCUGGCAAGGCUAGGGGCCUAUAAAGUGCACAUCCAUCCUGAUGCCCGUCACCAGAGGGCGGCUCAGCCAUCUGAUACCUGGAGCACCACUGCAGCCAGAAAGCGAGGGAAGGUGCUGAGCUACUGGUGCUUCAGUCCUGGCCACACCAUGCGCAAGCUGGUCCAUCAGGGCGUCUGCUUUCUCAUCCUCACUGGUGGCACGCUGGCCCCGGGAUCCUCCUUUGCCCUGGAGAUGUAGAUCCCUUUUCCAGUCUGCCUGGAGAACCCACACAUCAUCGACAAGCACCAGAUCUGGGUGGGGAUCGUCCUCAGAGGCCCUGACGGAGCCCAGUUGAGCUCAGCGUUUGACAGACGGUUUUCCGAGGAGUGCUUGUCCUCCUUGGGGACGGCUCUGGGCAACAUCACCCGCAUGGUGCCCUAUGGGCUCCUGAUCUUCUUCCCUUCAUAUCCCAUCAUAGAAAAGAGCCUGGAGUUCUGGCGGGCCCGUGUCUUGGCUAGGAGGCACUGAAGCCUCUGUUUGUGGAGCCCAGGAGCAAAGGCAGCUUCUCUGAGACCAUGAGUGCUUACUAAGCGAAGAUUGCCUCCCCCGGGUCUAUCGGCGCCAUCUUCCUGGCGGUAUGCCAGGGAAAGGCCAGGGAGGGGCUGGACUUCUCAGACAAUAAUGGCUGUGGUGUGAUCGUCACGGGCCUCCCAUAGCCCCCACACAUGGACCCCUGGUUGUCCUCAAGAUGCAGUUCCUGGACGAGAUGAAGGGCCAGGUUGGGGCUGGGGGCCAGUUCCUGUCUGGGCAGGAGUGGUACCGGCAGCAGGCAUCCAGGGCUGUGAACCAGGCCAUCGGGCGAGUGAUCCGGCACUGCCAGAACUACGGGGCUGUCUUCCUCUGUGACCACAGGUUCGCCUUUGCCGACCCCAGAACCCAGCUGCCCUCCUGGGUGUGUCCCCACAUCAGGGUGUACAACAACUUUGGCCAUGUCAUCCAAGACAUGGCCCAGUUCUGUGUUGCUAAGUGAACUAUGCCAGCACCACGCCCCGGGCUGCAGCAUCCAGUUUGUGUGAGGGAGAAGAUGCUGUCAGGGUGGCUAAGUCACCUGGCCCCCUCCUUUCCACCAGGAAAGCUAAGAGUCUGGACCUGCACGUCCUCAACCUGAAGCAGAGGCCGUCAGGGUCACCAGCUGCUGGUGGUGGGCUGGGGGGCCCUGGCGAGGAGCAAACCCACAGGUGCUCUACCCUGUCCCUCCCAUCUAAGAGGCUGGCAGAGGAGCCACAAGGAAGGAGGAAGAAGAUCCGGCUGGUCAGCCAGUCGGAGGAGCCCAUGGCUGGUGCACAGGCAGACAGGGCCAAGCUCUUCAUGGUGGCCGUGAAGCAGGAGCUGAGCCAAGCCAACUUCGCCACCUUCACCCAGGUCCUACAGGACUACAAGGGUUCCGAUGACUUAGCUGCCCUGGCGGCCUGUCUUGGCCUCCUCUUUGCUGACGACCUCAAGAAGCACAGCCUGCUCCAAGGCUUCUACCAGUUUGUGUGGCCCCACCACAAGCAGCAGUCUGAGGAGGUCUGUAUACAGCUAACAGGACAAGGCUGCAGCUAUCAACCUGAGCACAGCAUGCCCCGAAGGCAGCGGGCACAGCCAGCCCUGGACCCUGCUGGAAGGACAGCACCGGAUCCCAAGCUGACCCUGUCCAAGGCUGUGGCCCAGCAGCUGGACCCCAGAGAGCACCUGAACCAGGGCAGAUCCCACCUGUCCCCCAGGUCACCCCCCACAGGAGACCCUGGCAGGUACCCACAGUGGGGGUCCAGAGCGCCCAGAGCAGGGAAGCAGGGCCAGCACACCGUGAGUGUUUACCUGGCAGAUGCCCGCAGGGCCCUGGGGUCCACAGGCUAUAGCCAGCUCUUGGCAGCACUGACAGCCUACAAGCAGGAUGACGACCUGGACAAGAUGCUGGCCGCACUGGCCGCAUUGACCAUUGCGAAGCCUGAGGACUUCCCCCUGCUGCAGAGGUUCAGCAUGUUUGUGCAUCCACACCACUAGCAGCACUUCUUGCAGACAUGCACAGACCUGGCCAGCCGGCACUCCUACCCAGGCAUGGAGCCACCAGUACCCCAAGAAAAGAGUCUUGCCACACUCCUGUGCUCACCCACGGGGCUUCCCAAUCAGACCCCUCAUGGUGUGAGAAGCCUGGGAAGACCCAGAGCAAGAUCUCAUCCUUCUUUAGACAGAGGCCAGCAGCGGCCUUGGGGGAGGAUGGUGUGGCUGCAGGGCCAAGCCAGUCCCCCAGACCUCCCCACGCGCAUGCAGCGUCUGAAUGGGGCCUCUAGGACGUGCCCAGCCUGCAACACUGCCUGCAGGAAGCAGAGCAUCACUCAAGUCUUCUGGCCAGAGCCCUAGUGAGUGCCCGUGGAGGCCCUCAGCAUGCCCAAUGUGGCUUGAUCACCUGCCUGUCCGGCUCUUGUGGGCCAAGAACCCACCCAACAGAAUAGGCCAGAGAACACUUAAAAUCUACUCUUAGCAAUUUGCAAGCAUACAAUAGAAUUAUUUUCAAUAACUAUAGUUAUUAACUAUAGUCACCAGAUACAACAGACCUCUUGAAUUCAUUUCUCCUCUCUAACUGAAAUUUUGCAUCCUUUGACCAACUUCUUGCCAGGCCCUGACCCCAUCCCUACAUCUCCUAGUAACCCCCAUGCUGCUCUAUGUUUCUAUGAAUUCAACAUUUUUAGAUUUCACAAAUAUGUGAGAUCAUAUGUUAUUUGUCUUUCUG